rnacentral:rRNA from 1 species
GAUGAACGCUGGCGGCGUGCCUAAUACAUGCAAGUAGAACGCUGAAGGAGGAGCUUGCUCUUCUGGAUGAGUUGCGAACGGGUGAGUAACGCGUAGGUAACCUGCCUGGUAGCGGGGGAUAACUAUUGGAAACGAUAGCUAAUACCGCAUGACAACAGUUAUUGCAUGAUAACUGUUUAAAAGGGGCAACUGCUCCACUACCAGAUGGACCUGCGUUGUAUUAGCUAGUUGGUGAGGUAACGGCUCACCAAGGCGACGAUACAUAGCCGACCUGAGAGGGUGAUCGGCCACACUGGGACUGAGACACGGCCCAGACUCCUACGGGAGGCAGAAGUAGGGAAUCUUCGGCAAUGGACGGAAGUCUGACCGAGCAACGCCGCGUGAGUGAAGAAGGUUUUCGGAUCGUAAAGAUCUGUUGUAAGAGAAGAACGAGUGUGAGAGUGGAAAGUUCACACUGUGACGGUAUCUUACCAGAAAGGGACGGCUAACUACGUG